GCAAUCACUCAGAUGCGCUACAAAGGGGAGUGACUCUAGGAAACGUGCUGGACAUAGUGGAUGGCUUUGCCGCGAUGGGGUUCCCUAACUGUGGUGGGGCGAUAGACGGAAUGCACAUCCCUA